GGGCUUGUAGGAUAAUGGAUAGUCCCCUAGACUUCGAAUCUAGUAAUCCGAGUUCGAUCCUCGGCAAGCUCA
rfam:Lobosporangium transversale strain NRRL 3116 BCR41scaffold_51, whole genome shotgun sequence.